UAUACUUGGUUUCAUUUUCUUACAAAUGUCGAGUACUACAAUCUGUUUUCAUCUCUUUAGUUCUCUUCUUCCACGCUGUUGGAGUCCUUACUCAAUCUAUCUAAGAUCAAAAAUGCUUUGGGACUGUUGGAGUCCUCACUAUUUAUAUUUCUAGCCGAGAGAAACAAGCAUAAAGCUUCAUCUUCUUACAAGAGGGUUGAAGAAGGAGAACAAGAAUGCCUUGGGACUGUGUGGCGUUUUUCCAUCAAGCUUUGCCAGACUUUGUUGGAAAUUGACUAGACUGUGCGUGCAGCAAUAUUUGUAUUUUUUUUUCUUUCCUGAUAAAGAUACUAUGCAGUGUGUGUGCAAUGUAUAGAUGAAUGCUAGGCAUAGAUGUAUAGGGUGUGAAUGGUAGAGAUGAAUGUUAGGCAUAUGCGAAUUGUAUAGAUGAAUGUUAGGGUGUGAAUGGUAUAGAUGAAUGUCAGGAUGUGAAUGGUAUGGAUGAAUGCUAGGGUGUGAAUGGUAUAGAUAAAUGUUAGGAUGUGAAUGGUAUAGAUGAAUGUUAGGCAUAUGCGAAUCGUAUAGAUGAGAAUGUUAAGGUGUGAAUGGUAUUAUAGAUGAAUGUUAGGCAUAGAUGUUUGAAUAGGCGCGUGAAUGUGAGCGUAGAACGUGAGGCAAAUAAGUGGAACGAGGGACAAAAAUGAAAGAAACAAUCGCUAGACAAAACACAAAAAGCAAACAAAAAAAAUCGCAAAGUCUAAAAGCGUUGGAAACACGCCAAUCGCUAGUCGAAACUAAUUCCCAAACAAGGUCGAAAAACAUGAAACUGAAAGAAAAUAACGUAAAUAGUCAAAGUCCGAACAUCGCUAGUCGAAACAAUGUCAAGAUAUGUUACGAAACUGUCGAACACACAGAUUAAUGUUUCGUCGAAACACCCAAAAAAAAAACUCAAGACAAAACGUAAGCGUCUCGAAGUCUUGAAAAAACAAAAUGGCAAACCGAUCGAUCAAAAGGAAAACUCGCUAGUCUUGAAGCAAACCGAUCAAAGACAUCAAAGAAUAGGAGUUAAAAGAGAUUUGUUGGACUUCAAUGUUCCCAACCAAAACUUUCUCAAGUUGUUCAAAAACAAACAGUCCAAUUCAAAAAGCUCCUUAGGGAAAACCUUAGGCACAUCUUCAAAAACAUCCACAUCCAAACCAGCACCACCAAUCUCACCUUCUCUCAAGCAUCUCACCAUUUCCUCAUCGAUUUAGCUUAGCCCCACGAGCGACGUUGACGAUCGCUCCUUGUUUCCCCUUGCUUCCCCAGAGCAGAAAGAACGUCCAUGUAGGUAAGGAACAGAUAGUUUUCUAGUUUUCCGUUUCCGUUUCUUGGGGCUGCCAAUGAGCCUAUCGAGCCGAUUGGCGUUGGAAAUGCGCCGGAAAACGUCUAUGAGUAAACUGACGGCAAUAUCUGACAUCUUGACGGAGAAGCUCUAGCACACUCAGAUAUGUCAACGCCUAAUCAAACAUGUUUACGUCAAACACUUUUUUUUUUCCCUAAAAUCUUCUUUUUCCUUGCUUGUUAAUUUGUUUUGUUUUUUGUAUUUUUAAUUAAUUCUAAAACUGCUUAAAAGUUGAUUUCAUUUA